UGUCCAGGGGCGGGAAUCGAACCCACGACCUUCCGCUUACCGGGCAGAUGCCAUGUCCACUAGGCUAUCCUGGAC